rnacentral:misc_RNA from 1 species
AAAUGUCACACAUAUAUGAAGCUAAGUGAUGCAGUUCACAAAAAGUAACUUUAAUGGUUAUUUGAUUCAAUUAUUAUGUUUUGGCAAUAUAGAUCUCUCUUGUAACUCUAUCUAGGAGCACCAUGUAGCAUUAUCCUAUUUCGAAUACUUAGAUUUUAUUAUUAGGGUAAAGUACAAUCAAAUUUAUUAAAAACCCAAACACAAGUUAGUCCUAAUCCUAUUAACCUAACUUUAUUAGAAUUUAAUUAAAUCAAUGUUUGUGUUUUAAUUAAUUAAUUAAUUAUCUAUGAUUUUGAUGGAGUGUGCCCUUAAAAUUGCUCAAUAAGAGACUUAGUCUCGGUGCGCUUGAGCUGGCCCAAGAAAAUCCCUAAUGUUUAUUGGUAGAGCUUUGGCUUCUAUAGUAUUUCUUGUGUGGAUUUCUAUUGAAUAAUUUCACUUAUUUGACAUUCCUAUUUAGGUUUGAUAUUUUGGCCAGGUUCUUUGAAAUUUUUUAUGUUCCUAAUUUAAU